rnacentral:rRNA from 1 species
GAUGAACGCUAGCGGCAGGCCUAAUACAUGCAAGUCGAACGGUGUCUUCGGACAUAGUGGCGCACGGGUGCGUAACACGUAUGCAACCUACCUUACAUUGGGGGAUAGCCUUUCGAAAGGGAGAUUAAUACCGCAUAAGACAGUAGCUGGGCAUCCAGCAGCUGUUAAAGAUUUAUCGAUGUAAGCUGGGCAUGCGUCCAAUUAGCUAGUUGGUGAGGUAACGGCUCACCAAGGCAAUGAUUGGUAGGGGAACUGAGAGGUCAAUCCCCCACACUGGCACUGAGAUGCGGGCCAGACUCCUCCGGGAGGCAGCAGUAGGGAAUAUUGGGCAAUGGACGCAAGUCUGACCCAGCCAUGCCGCGUGCAGGAUGAAGGCGUUAUGCGUUGUAAACUGCUUUUAUACAGGAAGAAACGACUCUUGCGAGAGGCAUUGACGGUACUGUAUGAAUAAGCACCGGCUAACUCCGUGCCAGCAGCCGCGGUAACAC